rnacentral:lncRNA from 1 species
CAUCUUUGUCGUGCUGUUCAAGCUUUGUAGCUGAUUUCUUCUCGUCGUUGUGACUUUGCAUCGUCAUUCUUCAAUGCUCACGAGGUUUGUCUCGCAUGUCCUUUGCUUUAGUGAAGCAAAAAGAAAAAUUUCUUGUCACCCUACUCUUAUGCUUAUGUUGCAUUGUUUAUUUUGUUACAUCCAUGGUAUUUUUCUAAUGUUUUAAGAGCAAUGCACCACUAUUCUUGCGAAGGAAGGCGAUUCACAA